CCUAAUCUUGAGGGACCGGCACUACGUACAGAAUUUCCACCCAAUUAACCCUACUGAUCUUUCCUCCACUUACACAAACGAACCCUAUUCUCCAGCCUUCCUCACGUUUCCCUUGUGUUUUCAAACCAGAAUUUACUUUUCUUUUACACCAUGUAAUUUACCAUUCAACCUCACCAAUACCACCACCUAAUACAACUAUACAACAACCAUAAACCUGUACAAACAUUCCAAACCAAUACAAACUUGUUUGACUCAAAACAAACAGAAACCUUUCAUUUGACACCAAUACAUUCACACAACAACUUCAAAUUCGUACCCGGAAAUGACAACGAUAACUAACACAACAACUAUAUUUCAUUUUUUGUUUUUUUUUCCAGAGAAAAAUGAGAAGGAGAACAGAGGAACACGUUCGACGCCAAAUCCGUUCGGCACCCAAACGGAAGCAACACCGACGUUCUCGAUUCGGAUCCGAUCAGGUUCAAGCUUCAUAGCCACCAGCUGGAAUACAACUCACAGCCGACGACGUCACCGCCCUCGUGGUCAACGAUCAUCCAUCAUCAAGAUCCGGCCGCUCUUCCCUCCGAUCCGGCACGGUUCACCACCGGAAAGCCAAGACGUCAACACGUUGGCACCACCGGCCAGCCGCGGAGAUCUCCAACCACCGUCGAACAAGCCCCGUCGAGGAACUGCAUCAUUGUCGACGGUAAAAUGCUACCUAAGAGUAAAGAUAGUGGUAAGAAGAAGUUCCAACGUCCGAGGAUAGUAGUAUGUGACGCGCCUCACUCGGCCGUGUGCCCCCCCCCCCUCAGAGUCAUGUUGAUCCUAUGUCUUUAGCCAGUACUCAAGCUUUUACCCCAUUACUCUCCUCCCACACAUUCUCGUCUGGGGUACCUGCAUCUUUCCUGUACUCAGGAUCCAGUUUGCCUUUCCCAUCGACUCAGAUGCCGUCAUCCUUCCAGCAUACUGGUGUGCCCUCGUCCUUCCAGCAGGCAGGAGGACCUAGCUUUCCAUUCGCACAUACUGGUGUGCCCUCGCCCAACUUUCCAUUCGCCCAUACUGGCCUGCCUUCAUCCUUCCAGCAGACUGGAGGAUCUGGUUUUUCAUAUCCCAUCCAGAUGACUUCAUCCUUCCAGCAGACGGGAGGAUCCAGCAGUACACUUCUGACACAGGCUGGACGAUCUCCUAGUCCACGUCCGACACAGGCUGGACGAUCUCCCCGUCCACGUCCGACACAGGCUGGAGGCUCACGCACCCCACAUCCCACACAUGUACCGGCACGUGAGGUUUAUGAGGCAGUUGAUGAGAUAGAUAGAGCUGAUCUUCGUGGGAGGGAUGAUCCCGAUGAGAUUCAUGUCGUUGACGGUAGAUAUUGGAUUUGGCCCGAAGGAAGCAAUUUUGCGCCGAGUCGGACUGCUGAUAGGACUGUUAAUUAUAUAAUUCAGCAGAUGUAUAAAUCAUCUUUUAAGAGCUAUGGCGAGGUCAAAAAUAAAAAUUAAUGGUUUAAAAUGUUUAAGGGGAAAUGUGUGUGGGAUUCGUUGAAUGAAAAAAUGAUUCAGAAAGUUUUCAAUACCAGAUGCUCUAAAAGAAUGUCUGAUAUGCUGCGGCGAGUAAGGGAGAAUUAUGAGCUUCACGGCAUCCGUCCUAGCUGGAUAGGCGAGGAGGUUUUUCAGGAGCUUGUUACAUAUUAGAGGACUCCAGAAUUUCUGGCUAAAUCAGAAACUUUUAAGAAGAUGAGGGCAUCUGAAAAUGGGGGUUGUGUCAAUACAGUUGGAAGUACUAGUACCGCGGAGCAUGCCCGACGAUUGGCCAAGGAGUUGGGGAGAAAACCAUUGAUGCCUGAGUUGCUUUCGAGGACCUGGACAAGGAGAUCGGGAGGUUUUGUCGACCAUGUCGCUGUAGAGCGUUUUUUUGUAGUGUAGUAAACAAAAACAAUAAAAUAACAUAUUAAAAACAACAUAGCUGAUAAAUUAUUAUUUGAGAUUUUUUAGAAUGUAUAAAAAUAUUUUUAAAUAGUUGUGUCAGUAGUUAUGUUAAUAGCACAACCCAUAUUUUAUUAAAUAUAUAUAUAUUUA